rnacentral:rRNA from 1 species
UCGAGAAUCUUGGGCAAUGCGCGAAAGCGUGACCCAGCAAUGCCGCGUGCGGGAUGAAGGUCUUCGGAUUGUAAACCGCUGUCACUCGGGACGAAAAAUGACGGUACCGAGGGAGGAAGCCACGGCUAACUACGUGCCAGCAGCCGCGGUAAUACGUAGGUGGCGAGCGUUGUUCGGAUUUAUUGGGCGUAAAGGGUCCGCAGGAGGUUUGUUAAGUUCGAAGUGAAAUCCCGGAGCUCAACUCCGGAACUGCUUUGGAGACUGACGAACUAGAGUGCUGGAGAGGUAAGCGGAAUUCCAGGUGUAGCGGUGGAAUGCGUAGAUAUCUGGAAGAACACCAAAAGCGAAGGCAGCUUACUGGACAGCAACUGACUCUCAGGGACGAAAGCGUGGGGAGCAAACA